CCGGAGCCCCCGCGCGGAUGGCACAUUCGGGGGAGAUGGAGGAGUCUUGCACGGUGUACGUGGUGCGAGCGUGGCGCCGUGCAGUCCUCAGACGGAGAGAGGGAGGAGUGGUGAGAGCCCGGCCGGUGCCAGGCUCGGUGGUGGCCAGGGGCGGCCGAGGUCAGCCCUGGUCAGCUCGCCUGCCUUCCUCCUGUCUUUCAGUCGAACGCAGCCCGGGCUGCUGGCUCAGGUGCGUCCGGGCAAUACCAGGAAGUGUGAACGACUUUCGGAAAGAAUGUGAAUAAUUUGGUGUGCGCUGGAAAGCCGGGAAGCCCCUGGAUACAAGCAGUGUCGCUAGAAAGCCAGUUUGCUGAAGAGCCACCUGCUAAACUCCACUAGUGUCGUCACUACGCUCCCUGAUGAUGGCCUGGAAAAGCAGCAGAAGAAGGUCCAAGUGUCUGAACUCCUGCCACUCAUGCGGUAGACCUGGAAGAAGCUCCUGGCUUCUGCCUGGCCCAGCCAUGGCUGCUAUGACUAUCUGGGGAGUGAAUCAGUGGAUGGAAGAUCUGUCUGUCUGCCUCUCCUUCUCUCUCUGUAACUCUGACUCUCUAAAUAAAUAAAUAAAUAAAUAAAUCUUAAAAUGUAAUCUAUUUGUUGAAUUCUAUAUUUACUGGAGGAUUAUUAUUAUGAUUAUAAAAUAAGCUGAAAGUGUGUCACUGUAAAAAUUAAAAGAAUAAGGAAGGAGGAUGGAGGGUG